rnacentral:rRNA from 1 species
GAUGAACGCUGGCGGCGUGCUUAACACAUGCAAGUCGAACGAAGCAUUUAAGACAGAUUACUUCGGUUUGAAGUCUUUUAUGACUGAGUGGCGGACGGGUGAGUAACGCGUGGGUAACCUGCCUCAUACAGGGGGAUAGCAGCUGGAAACGGCUGGUAAUACCGCAUAAGCGCACAGUACCACAUGGUACAGUGUGAAAAACUCCGGUGGUAUGAGAUGGGCCCGCGUCUGAUUAGCUUGUUGGCGGGGUAACGGCCCACCAAGGCGACGAUCAGUAGCCGACCUGAGAGGGUGACCGGCCACAUUGGGACUGAGACACGGCCCAGACUCCUACGGGAGGCAGCAGUGGGGAAUAUUGCACAAUGGAGGAAACUCUGAUGCAGCGACGCCGCGUGAGUGAAGAAGUAGUUCGCUAUGUAAAGCUCUAUCAGCAGGGAAGAUAGUGACGGUACCUGACUAAGAAGCUCCGGCUAAAUACGUG